CGGAUGAGUAAUGCUUAGGAAUCUGCCUAUUAGUGGGGGACAACAUUUCGAAAGGAAUGCUAAUACCNCAUACGUCCUACGGGAUAAAGCAGGGGAUUUUCCGACCUUUCGCUUAAAAAUGAACCUUAUUUGGAAUUAGCUAUUUGUUGGGGUAAAGGCCUACCAAGGCGACGAUCUGUAGCGGGUCUGAGAGGAUGAUCCGCCACACUGGGACUGAGACACGGCCCAGACUCCUACGGGAGGCAGCAGUGGGGAAUAUUGGACAAUGGGCGCAAGCCUGAUCCAGCCAUGCCGCGUGUGUGAAGAAGGCCUUAUGGUUGUAAAGCACUUUAAGCGAGGAGGAGGCUACUGAAGUUAAUACCUUCAGAUAGUGGACGUUACUCGCAGAAUAAG
rnacentral:rRNA from 1 species